rnacentral:rRNA from 1 species
UACGUAGGGUGCAAGCGUUGUCCGGAAUUAUUGGGCGUAAAGAGCUCGUAGGCGGUUUGUCGCGUCUGCCGUGAAAUCCCGAGGCUCAACCUCGGGCCUGCAGUGGGUACGGGCAGACUAGAGUGCGGUAGGGGAGAUUGGAAUUCCUGGUGUAGCGGUGGAAUGCGCAGAUAUCAGGAGGAACACCGAUGGCGAAGGCAGAUCUCUGGGCCGUAACUGACGCUGAGGAGCGAAAGCAUGGGGGAGCGAACAGG